CUUAUUUUUAAAAUAUCUGUUACUUAUUCAGUCUCUCUUUCGAACUCGGUGCCGGUUAAUUUGGAACAAUGUUUCAGUGCUGCUUG